AGUUGAGUUGAGUCGAGUCCGUCCUCUUUAUUUCCUCUUUCUCUCACUUCUUGCGAGAGCUAAAAAAGAGGGGGAGGGGGAGGGGGAGGGGGAGAAGAGCGCGAGAACGAUCGGUGGUUGGGGAAAUGGGGUGCUUUCCGUGCGCCGGAGAGCCGAGCAGGAAGGGUAAGGAGAAGGAUCAGAUCCCGCCGGCCUCAGCAGAGAAGUCAAAAUCCAAUUCAUCGUCGGAUGUAAAGAAACAGAGCUCACUGGAUGCAAAGAAGGAGGUCUCAAAUAAUGGAUCUGAACAUAUUGCUGCUCAGACGUUUACAUUUCGUGAAUUGGCUGCAGCAACCAAGAAUUUCAGAGCUGAUUGUCUUUUAGGAGAGGGAGGGUUUGGCCGAGUUUAUAAGGGCAGGUUGGAUAGUAUUAACCAGAUUGUGGCUAUAAAGCAGCUUGACCGUAAUGGCUUGCAAGGUAAUAGAGAAUUCCUUGUUGAAGUUCUGAUGUUGAGUCUACUUCACCACCCUAACCUUGUUAACCUAAUCGGAUACUGUGCUGAUGGAGAUCAAAGGCUUUUAGUUUAUGAGUACAUGCCAUUGGGAUCCUUGGAAGAUCAUCUUCAUGACCCGUCUCCAGACAAGAAGCGGCUAGACUGGAACACAAGAAUGAAAAUAGCUGCUGGUGCAGCUAAAGGAUUAGAAUAUUUGCAUGAUAAGGCCAAUCCUCCUGUUAUAUACCGUGAUCUGAAAUGCUCUAACAUUUUGCUUGGAGAGGGAUAUCAUCCCAAGUUAUCUGAUUUUGGCUUGGCAAAGCUUGGUCCUGUCGGUGAUAAAACUCAUGUUUCCACUAGGGUCAUGGGUACUUACGGAUAUUGUGCACCUGAAUAUGCAAUGACCGGACAACUGACACUAAAAUCAGAUGUCUAUAGCUUUGGGGUUGUUCUUCUGGAGCUUAUCACUGGAAGAAGGGCUAUUGACAAUUCUAGAGCUGCAGGGGAGCACAACCUUGUUGCAUGGAUCUCUAGCCCUGAAGUUUAAUAAGGAAACUAUGCGCAUGAAUCUUGAUGUGCCCAUCAACAGAAAACAGUUUGGGAGGCACGACCCCUUUUCAAGGACAGAAGGAAAUUUCCACAGAUGGCUGACCCGAUGCUUCAGGGCCAGUAUCCUGUGAGAGGCUUAUACCAGGCACUUGCUGUUGCUGCAAUGUGUGUUCAGGAGCAGCCCACCAUGAGGCCUUUAAUAGCUGAUGUGGUUACCGCUCUCACUUACCUUGCUUCCCAAACUUACAACCCUGAAGCCCAAUCAAAUCAAAAUACUUCUCGUUUGACAGCACCAGGUACUCCACCUCGAACAAGAAGGGACAGCGAAAAGAAAUCAAGUGGCGGAUCUGAAAAAGACCAGUUGAGAGGACUAAAAUGAAAUCAUCCAUUACUCUUGCUAGAGCAAGAAUGCUUCGAUUCCACCUGCUUUGCUAUCAUCUCCAGGUGCCAGAACAGUGAAAAAUUUUGCCUCGCUUCUAUUCUCUUUUGGCUGGCGAUUUGGUGCCUGGUUAUCGAAUUUUGUGUCAUCAGAAAACAGGCGCACCCUGUUUGAUUCAUGCCUAAAUUCUUCCAGAAAGUGGCUUUUUUUCCUCCCCCCCUUUUUCUCCUUGUUGCUGUACAUGUGAUUUCAGGCCUCUGUAUUUAAAUGUAUCUGUUUAGACAGCAUGUGCUUUUAUUGAUGUUGUUAUUUUUUAUAUCUGCUUUUAGAUACAACAACAGUGUUUGUUCACAGAAAACUAAAGGUUUAUGUAGUAUGAAAGCAUUGCCAAUUUACCAUUUUUAUUAUCAA